AUUCCGUUUUAAAAUGCUGUUGAGAUACACGUUCGUUGUUCUACUGAUGUCGUUUCUCUCAUUUGAAGCUGUUCCGCUUGACUCUGAUUCCGAUAGUGAUGAUUUCGAUUCCGAAAAUAUUGAUACCGAUAAUGCCAAACAAGAAAACUCACAAGAAAAUU